GCACAUCCCGGCCUGACCGCCGGCGCCUCUGCCUGGAGCGGGGGACGCCGCUGCUCCCAGGGACAGCGGGUCGUGUCUCCAGCUUCCUGCCGGCAGCCCCCAGCUGCACGCCUCCUCCUCGGCCGCCUGGCCUGCCCCCCUCCCCUCCUCUUUCCUCCUCGGGCUCCUGUCUGUCCCCUCCUCGGUUCCUUCCGCUGUCCUCUUCUCCACUUCUGAGGGGAGUGUGUUCUGUGCCCCCCGCCUCCUGCGCCUGGUCCCUGGCCCUCCCAGAUGCUGCUCCGUGCGCCUCCACCAGCGGGCCCUCCUCUGGUCUCCCUAUCUGUGGUCCCCAAUGACCGGAUCCUGGGGGUGACAGGGCUUUGCCCCUGUGGCUGCUCAGAGGCGCAAGAGUGGCUGCGGGGCGGGCCCUGGCCUCCCGCCUCCCCCUCUCCCUCACUCCCCUCCCUUCCCCCCUGUCUGGCUGGCGGUCCAGCCUCCCCCUUCCUCCCCCCACCUCUCCAACCAUCGUGCGCCACAUCUGCUUCUUGUUAACUCCGGGAAAGAGAGGGAAAAAAAAAGGAAAAACAGAGAAAUGUGGAGUUGCCGCCGGGCUUGGGGCCAGCCUCUCAGACGGGCCACAUGGAGGGGAGCCGGGGCCAGAGCUGGGGAGGAGGCCCAGGGCCGGGCGCUUAGACAGGGAACGGGAGCUGGAGCCACAGCUCUCCUGGGGCCAGGGCAGGCCUGCCCUGCGACAGAGGACCUGAGAGAGGAGCCCAGACGGGAGAGCAGUGAAGGGUGGACGAAGCUGCGGGGUGACACAGACUUGGAAGAGAAGGCUGGGACUGCCUGCGUGAUGAGAGACCCAGUGAAGGGAGACACCAGAGAAGAUUCCAGGCUUUGA
rnacentral:lncRNA from 1 species